UACGUAGGCAGCGAGCGUUGUUCGGAGUUACUGGGCGUAAAGCGUGCGUAGGCGGUUGUCUAAGUUUGGUGUGAAAUCUCCCGGCUUAACUGGGAGGGUGCGCCGAAAACUGGGUGACUGGAGUGUCGGAGAGGUAAGCGGGAAUUCCUGGUGUAGCGGUGAAAUGACGUAGAGAUCAGGAGGAACACCUGUGGUGUAGACAGCUUACGUGGACGAUAACUGACGCUGAGGCACGAAAGCCAGGGGAGCGAACGGG
rnacentral:rRNA from 1 species